rfam:Aphanizomenon flos-aquae 2012/KM/D3 mira_90_len:43078, whole genome shotgun sequence.
GUCAGUAACCCAGCCCUCUGGGCUUGCAAGAGUAAUCAAGCAAGCCGUACUGACCAGACCACCCUGAGUUUACUCUCAUGGUAGCCGUUAUUUGAGUCACGACACCCCGGAAUGCGAAGCUAGUUCCCUGCUCUGUCGCUUGUGAUUAAACAGUUCUAAGGUCACUGGAACAGUGUUGCAAGCUCAAGCAAGCUCUUAUAACAGGUCGAAGCUAACAUUAC